GAUGAACGCUGGCGGCGUGCUUAACACAUGCAAGUCGAACGGAAAGGCCCAAGCUUGCUUGGGUACUCGAGUGGCGAACGGGUGAGUAACACGUGGGUGAUCUGCCCUGCACUUCGGGAUAAGCCUGGGAAACUGGGUCUAAUACUGGAUAGGACCACUUCUUGGAUGUUGUGGUGGAAAGUUUUUUCGGUGUGGGAUGAGCUCGCGGCCUAUCAGCUUGUUGGUGGGGUAAUGGCCUACCAAGGCGUCGACGGGUAGCCGGCCUGAGAGGGUGUACGGCCACAUUGGGACUGAGGUGCGGCCCAGACUCCUACGGGAGGCAGCAGUGGGGAAUAUUGCACAAUGGGCGCAAGCCUGAUGCAGCGACGCCGCGUGGGGGAUGACGGCCUUCGGGUUGAAAACUCCUUUCGCUAGGGACGAAGCGUUUUGUGACGGUACCUGGAGAAGAAGCACCGGCUAACUACGUG
rnacentral:rRNA from 1 species